rnacentral:lncRNA from 1 species
UUUAACUUUACUCAUUUUUUUUCCACUUUCAUUUUGUCAGUUAGUGCUGCUGCCUUCCUUCCUUUUUUCCCAUUUUCAAAACCCAAAUCCCUAGCUCACACCACCUCCACCAAUCCACCGAUCCAUUGAUCCAGUGUCUGUUGGCCACCUCCAGCUAGCCUCAAGCUCAGCUCAACUUCUUCAUUUUUGUUUCUUCAUUUGCAGUCUCGGUAGCCAAUCUCGGUGCUCCCAAAGUUUGGUCCUUACUAAGGCUCCCCAUAGGCCCAUACUACUGGCUGCUGCUGUGCCUUUAUCACAGAAAGCCCCUUCUUCACAGUAAGUUUCUUUUUCUUCUUCUUUACUGCUGCAUCUUCUUCUUGCAGGUUUUUGACAGUGCAAAAUUAAUACAAAAAUGAAACGUGUAUGGAAUAGUUAAAUUAUUUAUAUCAUUUAUGUCACAUAGACUCAAAUAUAAAGUUAAAUUAUUUUACAUAUUUAAAUCAUAUUCUCAUAUUCAUCAUGAUAGUAAGGACUAGUUUUCCUGGUUUUAAGUUUAAUUAUGUUUGGUUAGUAGGUGGUAUUAAGUUUGAUAUGUUUUCUGUUAACUACCUAAUUACAAUUACCAUUAAUUUAAUUGCCUUAGAUUAUUUAAUUUCAACCACUGAAACCAAGCAUCAUCAAUGCUACUUAAUUAUAUAAACUAUCUUAGAGUUUAAAUUAAUUUUUAUUACAAUAAUUAAUUUGGUUAACUCUGAAAAUAAAGAAAAAUUAUAACUUACAUUUUGCAUGCAUUUUGAUGUUUUAUUAUUAUUAUUAUUUAAUGGAGUGUUUGACGAAAUUGAUUUGUCACGUAAUUUUUUCCGUUAGGAUACAUUAGUAGAUUUGUGAGUGAAAUGUCCUUCAUCAUGAUAUCGAUGUUUUCCUUUUCUUUUUCAAUUAAAAAAAAUCCAAUCAUAUGGGAAUUUAGUAAAUCUUCUAAUUAAGCUUCAAUUUAACUAAGGAGCAUUCCAAAGGAUAAGUGUAUUUGCUGGAUUAUGCUAUACUCAACCUCUACUUAAUCUUAUAACCAAUGUAAUGAUACUUAUUAUUAUAAUAAUAAUGCAUGUGGAAUUGUGGAUUAAUUUACUCCUGUCGAUGCAUGCUUCUAUUCUGUUUCUGUAUUUACUAUAUUUUAAUAGUAUUUUAAUUUUUAAAUCAACAUUCAAAAUUUUUUUAAAUAAAAUUCCAAAACAUAAAAUUUUAAUUUAGAACUAAAUAAGUUAGUAAACUUUAAUUUAUAUUUAAAUAAAAAGCUUUAAAUUAAAUUGUCUUCGUAUGAAAAUUAUAAAUUGUAUUAUAAUUAUCAGAUAUUUUUAGUAUGAAAAUUAAUUAUCUUUUGGUCUAUUUGGAUUUCAGGACUUAAUUUUUAUGACUAUGGCUAGUUCGAACGUCCUAUACCUGUGGAUGAUGAGUUUAAUGAGUAUGAAAGUGCUCCUAAAUGUCAAAAGUCUACCACUUCAAUGGUGUGAGAUGAAAUGACAAAGCUUGAAUGCGAGAAUAAAAAUGAAUUGAAUGCACAAUGUAAUCACUGUAAGACUAUCUUCUCUGCUAAAUCUUCUAGUGGAACUUCUCAUUUAAGACGUCAUCUAAAUAGUUGUUUGAAAAAAGUUAAUAAGGACAUCACUCAAUACACCAUAGCCACUCAACCAUCAUUAGGAGGUGUUCCAUUUAUAAAAAACUACAAGUUUGAUGCUGAUAAGUGUCGUCAAGCUGUUUCUACUUUUCUUGUGUAUAGCAAGCAUGCAUUUAGGACAGUUAAAGAACCGGGAUUUAGAUACAUGAUGAGAAUUUCUAGUCCUAAUUUUAAGAAUAUAAGUAGAUAUACAGCUGCUAGGGAUGUCCUAAUGUAUUAUGCAAAAGAGGGAGAUCUGUUGAAGAAAAGUUGGCUAAAGCUCCUGGUUUAAUUUGUCUAACUUCCGAUAAUUGGAACUCGGAGCAUACUAAUGAUGAAUAUAUUUGUAUUACUACUCAUUGGGUUGACAAAUAUUGGAAGCUACAAAAGAGAAUCAUAAGGUUUAGAGCUUUAUUUCCUCCGUAUGAUGGUUUGAACAUAGCGGAUGAACUUGUUUUAUGUUUAUCUCAAUGGGGUAUAGACAAGAAAAUUUUUAGCAUCACUUUGGAUAAUGCUUCUUAUAAUGAUAUUAUGGUUUCUUGUCUUAAAAAUCAUUUUCGUGCAAACCGAGCUAUUUUGUGUGAUGGUGCUUUUUUUCAAGUUAGAUGUUGCGCACAUAUAUUGAAUCUUAUAGUUAAAGCUGGUUUGGAACUUGCUGAUGAUGUUGUUGGUAAGAUUCGAAAUGGAAUUAAGUACAUAAAAAAGUUGAGAAUUCAUAGGAAAAGAUUUUAUGAUGUGGCCGACAAAAGUUUUCAUUUGAAUGUAACCAAAAAGUUGCGUCAAGAUGUGUGUGUGGGAUGGAAUUCUACUUAUUUGAUGCUUAAAUCUUCUCUUUACUAUAAAGAUGUGCUAGAUUAUUGGGGCCAACGAGAUAAAGAUUAUCAAAUAUUUGUACUUUCUAACGAGGAGUACAGAAAUGUUGCUAUUCUUUGCAAAUUUUUGAAAGUUUUUUAUGAUGUGACUUGUGUUUUUUCUGGUUCUAAUUAUCCAACGGCUAAUCUUUAUUUUAGAGGGGUUUGGAAGGUUCAUAAGCUCUUGCUUGAUACAGUUAAAGGUCCUCAUUCGUUUUUAACUCCAAUGGUUAAGCAAAUGCAAGAGAAAUUUAAUAAAUAGUGGGCUGAGUAUUCAUUGAUAUUGUCAUGUGCUGCAAUUUUAGAUCCUCGUUACAAGUUGAAUUAUGUGCAGUAUUGCUUUACUACAAUCUAUGGUAUUCAUGCUUCAGAUUUUGUUGAAACCAUUCUUAGCAAUCUUAGACUCUUGUUUGACGAGUAUGUUAAGAGAUCUAAAUCCACGUCUUCCUCUUUGGCUAAGAGUUCUAAUGUUUCAGAUAAAAAUCUUGUUGAUUCUAGUUUGGAUAAACACAAUGUUAAUAGUGUUGAUUUUGGUUUUGGGGGAGAUUUUGAUGAGAGUGAUGACUAUAAACGGUAUUUAAAUGAAUCUAGCACUAUGAGUGAAAAGUCACAGUUGGACAUUUAUUUGGAAGAACCGACACUUGAGUUGAAUAGUCAAAUAGAUGUUUUGGAUUAUUGGAGCAAAAGUUCAGAUUGAUAUAAUGAGCUUUCAUUAUUGGUUCGUGAUCUUUUGGCAAUUCCAAUAUCGACUGUAGCUUCCGAAUCGGCUUUUAGCAUGGGUAAGAAAGUUAUCACACCUUUGAGGAGUUCACUUAAGCCAAAAAUGGUUCAAGCCAUUGUUUGCUUGGAUGAUUGGAUGCGAGCUAAGGGACUUUCAACAGGUAAUUAUUACUCUCGUUUUAUUGUUGUAAUUUUAUAUUAUUUUUUAUCAAUUUGAUUAUCUAAUUAUUUGUUCUUAUUUCAUGUUAGAAAUUUGUUACAAGAAUGAUGAUGACGAUGAGGAUGAUGAGGACGAUGAGGAUGAUGUUUCUUUGAUUACUUUUUAGGCUACCUUCCUUUCUAAUUGUUGACAAUUUAAUUUAGCUUAUAAUUUAUAGUUUGUUAUAAAAUUAAAUAUAUUGAUUGGUUAAUGUGUAGAUAUUCUGGUUGGUUGAUUAUAUUUUGCAGGUUUUUGGUGUUGUUGGUGAUGCUGUUCUCACUACUGUUGUAUGGUGCUGUUUUUUUGUGCUGUUUUGUUGCUAUUUUGGAGCUGUUUUGGAGCUAUUUUGAUGCUAUCUUGGUGUUGUUUUAGUGCUACUUUUGUAGUGUUUUAUUGUUCUUUUGCAGCUAUUUAUUAUGUUAUCUGUUGUCGUUUUUAAUAUUAUUUCGAUAUUGUAAAACUUUUAUUUUAUUAUUAAUUUGGUUAUUAUUUUAGUUCUAAUUUGUUUCAAUUUUAAUAUGACCACUUUUU